rnacentral:misc_RNA from 1 species
GAGACAAGCAUAUGACUACUGGCAGGAUCAACCAGGUAGCAUUCCUCCACGACGCCGCGCGCCGCCCUUGCGCCGCCGGGGCGGUCCCCAAGGGGCGGGCGCGGCCGUCACACGUUUCAUAUCGAAGCUCCUCCCGGGACCGGGGCGCGAGUCCCCGUCCGCGGCGUGCUCUGGGUCCAAGAGCGUCGCGCUUCCCCGUGGGCCACGCGACCGAAGAAGGCUCGGUGGAACACGGGGGUUCGCUCGGCUGUCCUCCCGCGCCAGUUAGAAGGCGCCGGACGGAGGCUGAGUGCGAGUGGGCCUCGCUUUCCCUUGAGGGGGUAGGCGGCACAAGAACCGGCCUCUGAGGCGCCAUCCCACCCCACGGCAACCGACGCGGAUUGCCUGCCGACCGUUCGGUGGACCAGCACGGAGCCAGCCGGCAGAGACAAACCAAACACCACUCAC